AUCAUCCCUACUUUUUUAUACUUCUCUUUCUCUCUCUCAUGCUAUUUUUUUCAAAGUCAGAUCUAAAAAUCUCUCGUUCAUACCAACUCUCUCUCUCUCUCUGUAUGGAUACAUAUAGAGAGAUAGAGUGAAAAUGACGUGAAAAUAAGAUUUUGAAGGUGUUAUUUACGGCGGAGCUCCACUUGAUGGGUGUACCGGUGGACGACGGCGAUGACGAUGGGACGACGACGAUAAAGUUGUUGGGUCCGGAUCUGAUUUGGAAGACGAAGAGGGAGACCCGUAGCCGUUGAAGACUCGGAUUCGAAGAAGACCCGGGCUAGACGAGGACCCGGAUAUGAUGAAGACCCAUUUGUAGGUUAACCUCUUUCCUUUUUUUGAAGAACAAUCAAAGAAAAACCCCUUAAAAAUUUGAACUUUUUAUUUGCUCUUUUUCAGUUUUUUUUGACCAAAACCCAAUGAAAAAAUGGGCAGAAAAAGUAAAAAAUGUUAUGUUCUUGUUUGUUGUAGAAUCGAAAAUUAUUAGUAGCUUUCUCAGUGUCUUUUGGAGGAUACGGUGUCAUGCUUCAAAAAUCUGUAUGUAUUAAUCAAUUUUAUAAA